CAUAAAUACUAAUUGGUUGCUAUGGUGAUCUCAAGCUUGUAACUAAAACGGAGGUAUCUAGGUAACAGUAUCUGAAGGUGAGAAUGAUGAAUGCUUCAACUCUGGAGUUUCGUAGGGAGAUGGUGCUGGAGUAUAAAAACUGGCAAAUGUAGCCUCAGCUCCAAAGGAUUGGUGGAUAUCUUUGGACCUCGCACACGAUAUAUGGGUCUUCUCUUUCUUAAUCCUGAGGCAGAUGAUGCUGCUGAGUAAAAUCGAAAUCACACAUCAAAGCAGAUUGAGACCACUCUAAAUUUGUGAUCACAAAACCUCAUCUAGGCCCUCAGUGCUGCCAAGAAGAACUUGAGAAGAUCCAACCAGUCUGUCAAAGGAGUAACAAAUUUGCAAAGGUGAGUUGAAAUAACAUGACACAUCUGGGACUGGCCUCAUUGACCUCUUUGGUAGUGGUGAUUCAUUAAGUGGUCACUUCUUGAGACAGCAAUAUCUGCUUGAACUGCUAUUAACAUUUUGAGACCUUACCCAGACUCAAUUGCUAAAUAAAGAAUCAAGAUCUCGAACCAAACCUUUCUCCUUUCAGGAUGUUGUGUUAGAAGUGACAUACAGAUAACUUUUCGUAUUCUAUGUGAGCAUCAUUUUCCUUGUGAAAUGUCUUGACGCUCCUUUGGAUGCAUUUCUACCCAACACAGGAUCCCUCACGCACACACGCCUGAUAGACGUUCAUCCAAGCAUGUGCUUAACUGAAUUAACAAGGUUUUAAAAUUGAACAAAGGAAGUCUAGAUCUUAUCAAUCUUUUAGUGUGUAACAUAACUCACCUCUUCUCCCCCUUUCGUAAAUAUGAAGAAUUCAGCUAUAUGAAG
rnacentral:lncRNA from 1 species